rnacentral:rRNA from 1 species
GGUUCAAAUAUUAUUGGGUGGAAGUGACGAAACAGGUUUUCAUUUAACAUCAUUAACUCCGGAUGGUAGCGUUUUAGAAGAUGAGUACAUAUCAACUGGAUCCGGGUCU